GAGUUUAAGUGCAUAUGUCCUUAGUGAAAUCGCUGUUCCAUGUUUGGUUCGAGUAUUUUAGCCUUGUUCUAUUUUACCCGUUUCUCCCACGGAUGUUCCUUUUUGUCCCCUGGCUUAGUCUUUCCAUUGAUUUGUCGUCAUGGAAUCCCUCGUGUUCCGUAACAGUUUUAAGACGUAGCCUGGCCAACGCAUAACCCUUUU
rnacentral:lncRNA from 1 species